rnacentral:rRNA from 1 species
AGCUUGCUCUCGGGUGACGAGCGGCGGACGGGUGAGUAAUGUCUGGGAAACUGCCUGAUGGAGGGGGAUAACUACUGGAAACGGUAGCUAAUACCGCAUAAUGUCGCAAGACCAAAGUGGGGGACCUUCGGGCCUCAUGCCAUCAGAUGUGCCCAGAUGGGAUUAGCUAGUAGGUGGGGUAACGGCUCACCUAGGCGACGAUCCCUAGCUGGUCUGAGAGGAUGACCAGCCACACUGGAACUGAGACACGGUCCAGACUCCUACGGGAGGCAGCAGUGGGGAAUAUUGCACAAUGGGCGCAAGCCUGAUGCAGCCAUGCCGCGUGUGUGAAGAAGGCCUUCGGGUUGUAAAGCACUUUCAGCGGGGAGGAAGGCGGUGAGGUUAAUAACCUCAUCGAUUGACGUUACCCGCAGAAGAAGCACCGGCUAACUCCGUGCCAGCAGCCGCGGUAAUACGGAGGGUGCAAGCGUUAAUCGGAAUUACUGGGCGUAAAGCGCACGCAGGCGGUCUGUCAAGUCGGAUGUGAAAUCCCCGGGCUCAACCUGGGAACUGCAUUCGAAACUGGCAGGCUAGAGUCUUGUAGAGGGGGGUAGAAUUCCAGGUGUAGCGGUGAAAUGCGUAGAGAUCUG